GUCUGGCAAAAUGCUGGGUAAGCUGCAGUGCUCAAGCCUUGUUUGGUCAUAACACUUCAAUGACGCAUUGUGCAUCUGCAACCCCCUGGAAACCCUGAAGUAUAUAAAAUAUGGCAAUGGCAACCAGCCCAGAGGAAAUGAUCAGAGCUGCCGAUGCUCUGCCAAGGCUUUUGUGAGAGAUCAGCAAAGGAAUUCUGCAAAGCAAAAAUGUUGCUUAAACGGCACAAAAUCCAGUCAGAGACAUUCAGGAGUAAGGAGAAGAGAAGGAUCAGCCUGGACACUGGAGGAUUCUGACUUAGGCCAUGCAGCAAUAAGAAGGAAUUGGAGAAGCAGUCAGUCCACCCUGCCAUUUACACUGUCCGUGCAGCACAGGAGGAGAGCAGGGGUGCAGACGCAGACAAAUGGACCCCACUUGCAAGAAUUCUCCAGUCUCAGGUGCAUGGAGUGCAUGGUUACCCACAGGGGAAUACACACAGAGACCCACACCCAAAGAAGAAAUAAAAUGUUUCUAUAGAUCUGUACUGUGAAUUGAAGCUCUCAUUGUUAUUGACAUACAAGAUUCUGAGGCACAUCAGCAACAGGAAAUAGAGCAGCUCUGUAAUGCAGAUCAGAUACGGAAGGCAAUUUUGAGAAUCAGGAAUGGGAGCAAAAGCUCAAAUGAGUUCUUAGAAAAUAAGGGGAUGAAAAGGUUGUAGGUGGCUGUAUUUCAGCUGUUUUCAUGGAACAUAAACCUAGAAAGGUACUUUUUGGUUACUAAAUUUUAACCCAGCCUUGAUUCACAUGGAUUUAGAAGUUCAGCAAAAAUUUUCUUCCCCAUUUUGACAUCUUAAUUUAGAUGCAGAGAGAUAAGACAUAGAGAUGCUGAUAAGAUCAAAAAGGGAAAUCACUUGCCAAUUGUUCCUGACAUAAGCAGUCAAAUCUAUGUUUGUACAGAGGACCCCUAACACAGCAAAACAUGUUUGUAGUUCAGAAGUUUAGAACCUAAGCUCUGGUUUUAAGUCUGAGAGUGGUACAAUUAGAUAUGACUUUUUUUAAGCAAAGUAGAAAAGCGUUGCUGGUCUGCUCUCCUUUUAUACUGGGGCUUUCAGCAUGCUCAUCUUAGAGGUACCAGUAUCUAUUCUAACUAUUGACAAAGAAACACCUACAUACAACAUAAAAUGAACUAGAUUUAAAAAAUACCUAUUUUUACAUUUUAUAUCGGAUCUGGGAUCAAAAACCAUAAGGGCCAAUUUAAAUCUGAGGAUCUGAAUCUAAUGAAUACACCAAUCCUGAAACUGGGGAGGGAAUGGAUUAGUAGUCCUAGUAUGAGUCUACCUUUAGUUAGAACAUGUGGUCCAUAUUCUUAGUUCCCUGAGGUUUGUGUAUUUCAUAUAUUUUACUGUAUGCUGCAUUGAUGACCCUCUUAAAGCCAUUGCUAUUUUGGUUUCUGAAGAUGUUUAAAAUAGUUUCACUGUUCCUUAAGAGUAAGGUAGUCAGAUAUAUACUGUGAUGCUGGCAGACCAGGCUAUGGGCCUGAGCCAAGCACUUACAAAUUCAUUGCUGGAAACCAGUUUCUUUUGCUUAUGUGUCAGUAUGCGUAAAAUGGGUACUGGAUUUAUAACAAUGUGUUUAGACUUUAUGAAAUGGUUGUAAAUUGCUGCAUGAAUUAAUCUCAAAUUAUAUUUUUAUCACAUGCUGUAAGGUAAUAUUUAAGUUUUUGUUUUCUACGUGUAAAAAAAAAAAAAAAGUGUUCUCUGAAACUGUGAACCCAGUCAGGAGGGAUUCUCCUGUCCAUCAAAAAGGCCUAUCAAAACUAAAUGGGCCAUUGUGGGACAUUACAAUACAAAGGCUUUGUUAAUUGCCCCUUACACCCAUGAAGAGGCUAUAUGCAAAAGGAUUCAUUGUGGAAGAAAGAAAUAAAGAUAGCUGGCAAUCUUUUGUUGUUUGGACUCUCACAGGGCCGGAGCUAUGAAACAGAACCAGAGAUCCCCAGGAUCAGCCUUGGUUAGCCCUAAAAGACAUUCAGAACUGACAAAUUACUACAACUCUGUCACCUUUUGGAACCAUAGACUAACUCAUUUGUGUAUAAAGAAAAGGAGUACUUGUGGCACCUUAGAGACUAACAAAUUUA